UACGUAGGGGGCGAGCGUUGUCCGGAAUCAUUGGGCGUAAAGAGCGUGUAGGCGGACUGGAAGGUCUGGUGUGAAAGCCCGGGGCUCAACCCCGGAGGGUCACUGGAAACCAACAGUCGUUGAGUCCGGAAGAGGAGAGUGGAAUUCCUGGUGUAGCGGUGGAAUGCGCAGAUAUCAGGAGGAACACCAAUGGCGAAGGCAGCUCUCUGGUACGUGACUGACGCUGAGACGCGAAAGCGUGGGGAGCGAACAGG
rnacentral:rRNA from 1 species